UACAGAGGUCUCAAGCGUUGUCCGGAUUCAUUGGGCGUAAAGGGUGCGUAGGUGGCGAGGUUAGUCAGGUGUGAAAUCUCGGGGCUCAACCCCGAAACUGCACUUGAUACUGCCUUGCUAGAGUACUGGAGAGGAGAUUGGAAUUUACGGUGUAGCAGUGAAAUGCGUAGAUAUCGUAAGGAAGACCAGUGGCGAAGGCGAAUCUCUGGACAGUUACUGACACUGAGGCACGAAGGCCAGGGGAGCAAACGGG
rnacentral:rRNA from 1 species